UUAGCUGUUUUUAUUAUGCAGAUUUUUUUUAAAUUUAUUUAUUUAUUUAUUUAUUUUUUUACAGUUCCCUGUAUUAGUGAAUGUCGGUUACAAGUUGGACUGGACUGACGCUGACCCCUUCUUCACUCUACAGUUCUUUACUGAGAGAUUAAGUCAGCAUAGAAAUAUGGUGCAAACAUUCCCUGAAUCCGCUUUUUCCUUUCCAUCUUAUCACGAGAUCGUACGUGAGUCACAUCCAGAGUUAUGAGGCUGUGAAGAGGGGCUGAGAUACACGACACCUGCCUCUCACUAUGUGCAGCUGGUUGAUUUGUGUGUCCAUCUACACCUACGUGACCAACGGACACUGGAGGCAGGUGAAAUGCACUAUUUUGACAAGUCAUCUGCCCCUACACAUCACGCUAAAUGGUGACCUGUAGACGGUGAUUUUGUGUGAUUAAGAACAGUUGAAAAACGGACGGAAGUCAACCUGGGUUCAAU
ensembl:lncRNA